rnacentral:rRNA from 1 species
AAUCCUAAGAGCGGCGCUCUAUACAUGCAGUCGAACGAGUUCUGAUUAUUGAAGGGUGCUUGCAUCUUGAUUUAAUUUUGAACGAGUGGCGGACGGGUGAGUAACACGUGGGUAACCUGCCCUUAAGUGGGGGAUAACAUUUGGAAACAGAUGCUAAUACCGCAUAAAUCCAAGAACCGCAUGGUUCUUGGCUGAAAGAUGGCGUAAGCUAUCGCUUUUGGAUGGACCCGCGGCGUAUUAGCUAGUUGGUGAGGUAACGGCUCACCAAGGCAAUGAUACGUAGCCGAACUGAGAGGUUGAUCGGCCACAUUGGGACUGAGACACGGCCCAAACUCCUACGGGAGGCAGCAGUAGGGAAUCUUCCACAAUGGACGCCGGUCUGAGGGAGCAACGCCGCGUGAGUGAAGAAGGCUUUCGGGUCUUAUUUUUUUUUUUUGUUGGAAAAAGAAUGUUCUGCAGAUAACUGUUGGGGGC